CAGGACAAAAAGAAUUUAUCCUCCUUUUUAUAAAUGAUGAAGUCUAUACCGAUAGCAUUAUGUUGAGUUUUUGCUUUGAGUAUGCAGCUGGUUGAAUCUAACGACAAAGUUGAUGAUAUCAUGAAAACACGAUUACCUAGAGGUCCUCCCAAGAAACCAAAUGUUUGCAAAACCAGUUGUCAUGCGCCUGGUGUACCUGGAUUUCCAGGUCAUAAUGGGGUGCCAGGAGCCAAAGGAGCCAGUGGAAGUGAUGGAAAGCCGGGAAAGAUAGGUCCAUCAGGG